rnacentral:misc_RNA from 1 species
GAGACCCAAGAGAUCCGUUGUUGAAAGUUUUGACUAUGUAAUAAUAAAUCAAGUUGACUGUAAAUAAAAAGUUUGGUUUAGUUAUAACCUCUGGCGGUGGGAUUGCUCCCGCCACCAAAGAAAUUUGUUCGUAAAAAACACAUGUGGUGCAAUUAASCAAAUCACUAAUGAUCCYU